UUGGUCUCAGAUCAGACAGGAAGACCCGCUGAACUUAAGCAUAU
rnacentral:rRNA from 1 species